GAUACAAGAGUCAGCAUACACCCUAUUCUAACUCAUUAGUAUGAGUAUGAUAAUUUUCUUUCACGUUGAUUUUUUAUAUUAUGUCAACCCACCAACAAAUCAUUAUAUAAUGUAAUAUCCCUAUCAGGGAUGAUAAAUAUCAUUAUCAUUAUCAUAUCUAGUAUAUUCCAGUCAUAAAAACUAUAAUCCGACUUUAAAAAUGAGAGAUUGAUGAUAACUCAUAUCUAAAUUGUUUUACCUUUUAAAAAUUAAUUUCUAUAAUUUCCACAUAAAUUAUUAUUCAAUAUUCAAUCUAAUGAACAGUUGCCUUUUAUUUGCGGCCAAGUGGAAUUGGAAACCGCUAAGAUUGCUCCACGAAGCUGCUUUCAACUAUUCACUUCAUCAUUCUUUCACUCUUUCAGUUUCAACUUAACCUCCUCAUUAUUGUAUUCCAGUUCCACGAUAUGCUUCUGUUGAUUUUGAUCAAUUGCUUCCUUCAUAGAGGUGUCUCCCUCUUCUCUAAUCUUGAUCAAUUGCGCUUUGAAUCUCGAUCCAUUCUUGAACAUUCAUAAGGGUUUUCAUUUUGGAAUCAUAAAGCUAAUGAGAUGUCGCUGUGGAAGAAUUACUGGACAAAGCAAGAAGCAGAGCUCAAGAAAACGCUCUCACCAUUGAAUAUAAAGUCAAUGCUAUCUCAAUGAUCUCAGCGCCUGAGAAGGAAUUAGAACAAGCUUGAACGCGUAUUGAGGGGUUGGAAACCGAAAGACGAUCCUCAAAGAAGAAGAUUGAGCACUUGAAGAAACUCGGUAUCCCGCUCUUGCAUCUGUUCUUCGUGCAAUUGAAGCCCUUUCUAUGAUGUAUGAUUAUUCGGAAGGAAUGUGUUCAAAUAAGGAAGUUCUUCAGAUGGCUAUGGAGCUAAUCAAAAUACCUGAAAAGCUGGAGGUGAACAUUGAAAUUUUCUGUAAAUGAUUGGAAACAAGUUCCCUGGAUGCUUUUACUAUUUGGCACUGAAUCUCUUAGAGGUAGAGAUCCUUCUAUAAAGGUUCAAUCAAGUGGAAAAUUUAGUUUAUUUGAAGUCUUGCAUUUUUGUGAAAAGUUAGUUGCAUUUGUCUUCAUUUUGGUUUGGUUUGGAUUAAACUUGAUGUUUAUUUGAAGUCUUGCAUUAUAGUUGAAGUCUUGUAUUUUUGUGAAAAAAGAAGCCCAGAUCGGGAAGCAAUUAGGGUAUAAUGCUCUCUUACCCUUUUGGAUUAUUGUGGGUUAUGUAGACGAUCGAUUUUGUAGUUCAUAAGUUUCAUUUUAAUUUAUAUUCAAGCGAAGAUGUUCCAUCAAAGAUGAAGACACUAGAAGGCUAUGUUCGUUGAUUUUAAUUUUCUGUUGGGUUUGUUAUUUUCUCUUUUAUUUGUGCUUUUGGGUCAGUCUUCUUGUUGUUGAUUGCAACCCUGUUAGGUUUUUAUCACUUGGAGUAUACUGGUUGAGAAAUGGAUUGGACUUGAUUGAAUUAUGUUGGCUAUAUAAUGAUAUGAGUUAAUAAAAAGUGAUGCAUAUAUCAUACCUAAGAGUAUAACUUCAGCAAAAUUUUGAACCAGGAGUAGCUGAAAUUAAGAAAAGAGGCGAGGUUUUGGUUUUUUGUUUAGGUCUUGGUUUUUUCGUUGAGGUUUUGUUUUUUCGUCCUAUUCUUUUAUUUAUUUGUUUAUCUGUCUUCAAUCGGGUUCUUGAUUAUGGAGUUUGUUGUUCUAUCUUUCUUCUUAAUCCUUCUGAUUUUUGAAGAAAUUGCUGUUCUAUCAUCACUUGAUCUUGUUUCAAAAAUUGGCAGAGUACUAGAAGAAAUUAAUUUGGCUUUAUUGUUCUUAAAUUUCUUGUUAAUUGCUCAUGCGUGCCAUUGGAAAUGCUACAAUUAACUUUUGUAUGUGAGAGCUUUAUUUGAAUAAUGUAAUAAUGGUGAAUGAUGGAGGAAGAGUAUUAAGCUAGGCUUUGGCAAUCAAAGUUGAUACCUUAACAAGUUUAGAUUAUAGUGAAUGACGGGCAGAGUUCAAUUAUUUAACAAGGUCAUAAUAGUAAAUUGCUAGUGGUUAAGGAAAGGAAUAGUGCUUAGGAUUAAUGGAGGAAAAGUUUUGAAUCAAUUUCUUUGUUGAAGGAUCAUGAUGGAGGAACUGUUGAGUAUAAGAUGAUUGAGUUCAAUUCCUUCAUAAGGCUAGGGUUGAAAGAAGAUGUUUUAAGUGAAAACUUAGAAGAUAGAAAAUGAUGUACUAAGAAAUUAUUGAACUUGUUUGCAUUAUUUUUUUGUAGGAAUUCAAAAUUAGAGUUUAAGCCAUCAGUCAUUUCUCGUUAUUCAAACUCCAUGUUUUAACCCUUAAUAAGGAAUUGAACUCUCCAUCUUCCCUUCUAUCUUCCAAAAACAUCGGAUAGUUUCUAGAUUUGCACGUUGCACCCUGGGCUUCUCUGAAAUUUACAAUAAUGAUGAUGCCAAGCCCCAAUGCUCAUGUUAUAUUCUGCCGCUUGUGCUGCAGUUUAUUCGCCUCUUUGUUUUACGUUUGAUCUGUGUCUAAAGAACGACCACAUCUUUUUUACCUCUUUUUUGCCUCAUACACCUUUAGGCUUUUCUUAAUUCCUAAUUUGCUCAAAUAUGUGAUAGUGGAUAUUGUUUUCUUCUUUUGGACCAAUACAUCCAAUUUGAAUUUUUAGUUUCUUUCGUGUCAUUUUUGGUUGAUUGGAUAUCAGAAAGAAGUUUUGUUAUCGUAGGUUAAGAUUUCUUCUUCAAUAUACAUUUAUAGAAGUCAUGCAUACUAUAUUGUAUAUUGUCUUUUUCGUUCCGUAACAUAAUAGAAACUUAUUCCGUCUUAUAUUAGACGGGAUUCGACAAAAAAAAUCUUCAUUUCAUUGAAUAGAAGAUUUAACCCGUCUUUUUUGUUAUUUUGUAAAGGUAGAAUAACAAGUUUUGUGAUUUUGGUCACAAUGUAGUUCACUUUGUUUCUUUGUUUCUUUGUUCAGGUUGAAGAGCAAACAGCUAAGAGUGGUGUGAUUGUAAGCCUUUACACAUAGGUGUUUAAACGAGAAUUUUUUAAAUCGAUGGCAGUAAUUUACUUUGACAAUUUGAAUUCCAAAUGUUAGUUCUGGGAGAUCGAAAGGUGGAAGCUUAUCUAUUAAUAGACAAUAAGUAUAGCUUCUCAUUAUUGCUUAACUCUCAAAGUUAUAAGUAGAUGUCCAUAUUGUUCAUAACUAAUAAAUGUAAACCGAAGAAGGAAACAUUGACGUUGUGAAUACUAAAGAAUGUAGCUAGAUUUUCAACUUGUAGAAUGAAGAUGAUGCUUUAUCGCUUUCACCUUUGAUGUAAAUACGCUUUUGAUAUUGUUUGUACGUUAUAGCUAAAAGAAGAUUGAAGAGACAUGUUAGAAUGGCUUGAAUAUACGAGUGAUGAUGUUGUGUUGGGUGGCAUUCUACUCGUUUGCUGGUGGUAAUUAAAAUGGUAGUGCUUUGUUUUUUCAAACAACUCCCAUCAUUCUUACAACUUUUAUGUGUCUAUUCUUGAAUUUGCAAUGUAAAUAUUCAUGUGAAUUGUUUUCGCAAAUGAUAUUUAGGUGAUGACAUUAUGGAAUUUAGGGCCGGUAAAAGCUGACCCGACCUGAAAUUCCAAUAUAAUCAA